rnacentral:rRNA from 1 species
AGCAGCCGCGGUAAUUCCAGCUCCAAUAGCGUAUAUUAAAGUUGCUGCAGUUAAAAGCUCGUAGUUGAAUUUCGGGACUAAUAUGUCGGUCGUGCCUCGGUACGUACUGGCUUAUUGGUUUCUCCUUUCUGAAGAACCAUGAUGUCAUUUAUUUGGUGUCGUGGGGAAUCAGGACUGUUACUUUGAAAAAUUGAGUGUUUAAAGCAGGCUUACGCUUGAAUACAUUAGCAUGGAAUAAUGAAAUAGGACGUUUGAUUCUAUUUUGUUGGUUUCUAGGAUCGACGUAAUGAUUAAUAGGGAUAGUUGGGGGCAUUAGUAUUCAAUUGCCAGAGUGAAAUUCUUGGAUUUAUUGAAGACUAACUACUGCGAAAG